GUGAACUUUGUGUUGCUGUUUAUUUCCCUUUUCAGCUUUUUUAAGUUCAUCAUACUUUGAUGAAAUUUGGUGCGCAUACAUGGGUUUGAUCAUACAGUUUUCCCACCAGCUUCAGAUGUUUUUCCCCACCUUCCUGAAAGAUCACACCAUUUCUCUGUUGAGCCAUAAGCAGGCAGAGUGGAAGGGCAAGAUCAUGGUCCAAUAAUGCAUCCUUCAAUCUCUGAGAAGACUUCUUUGUAUUCCUAAUUUGGCCAAAGUAUCCACCCUCAGCUUUUAGUUGUUCUCCACCAGUCAUGGCUUCCAACUGUUCCAUUGUCAUCUCUUCUGUAAUUUCUAUCCCUGCCAUUUUUUGCACUACCUCUU
rnacentral:lncRNA from 1 species